CGUGGGUGUAACAAGAAGAAAGCCUUUCAAUCUCGGGGUGUACUGGAGUGGUGAUGACGAGUCCGUGGUUCUCUCCCCUAAUCUGGGCUGAUUUAAUGUUCGUAGAUUCGUCUGUCUUCUACGGUUCGUCGUAGAGGUUUCUGCUCCAAUGUUCGAUAAUUCUGUCCUGGUGUCAGCCGUACGACGGCAGUACCACUUGUCGACGUUGGUAACUUUUUUCCUUCAGUACUAAUAGAUUAAGCUAGUCUUGUAAGCCAUAUCCGAAGUUUUCAUUAGCCAUUGACUGAAAGCGUCCCAGAUUUUACGUAAUUCAAAAGUGCUUGGACCAUUGAGAAAGCAUAGCAGUCUUGACUUCCCUGGCUUGAAGCGCAAACUACAACGGCAGUCUUUAUAUUCCUUAUCUAAAGCCAUAACAAGGCAGUAGAAGCCUUAAUUUUCCUGGCCUACGAUUUUCCUGGUGAUGAAAAUAAGUACAAUAUCUGAAAUAUUCCACUUGAAUUGGGUAAAGCAGACUGCAUGCUGGGUUAAGGUGGUAAGCAUUUUAGAUUUAAUGUAGAGAGCAGGUUAGUCUGGAAUGAGACCGUAAAAGAUCUUGUAUAUGACCGUAUAUGGAAGUUAAUAAAUACUCCCGAGAUGCUUUAAA